AUGCUCCCUCCGGUAGCACGUUUAUUAAAGUGGGAACGGUACAGAGAACUAGUGUGGCUUCUGAGCAAGGACAACGUGCAAAUUUGUGAAGCAUUACAUACUUUU